rnacentral:rRNA from 1 species
AUGAGUUUCUGUCGCGGCUCCGUGGGGAGUUUGAGCCUCGGCGUGCUCAGUUGUUUGCUCGUGGCCGUGUUCCUAUUUCUGAGGUGCUUUCUAAGCUUCGUGCUGAGGAGACUCGCCUCCGUGGUGCCGGUCUGCUUCAAGUUCCAUUUGUUCUUGCUGCUCAAGCUGCUGCUCCACCAGUACCUUCUCGCUCGAGUGCUCCGCCGCUACUACCCACUCCUUCUGGUAGUGAGAGCCGCACUCAUGAGGGCCGCUCUCGUCCUCAUACUCAUUGUGGGUACUGCAACAGGGAUGGUCACCCUGAAUCUGAUUGCUUCAAGAAGAAGCGUGAUAUGCGUAAUAGGGAGCGCAAUUCUUCUAUUGGGACUCGUGCUUCUUCCUCGAGGUCGUCUACUGUCUCCUUGA